rnacentral:rRNA from 1 species
UACGUAGGUGGCGAGCGUUAUCCGGAAUGAUUGGGUUUAAAGGGUGCGUAGGCGGACUGUCAAGUCAGCGGUAAAAAUGCGGUGCUCAACGCCGUCGAGCCGUUGAAACUGGCGUUCUUGAGUGGGCGAGAAGUAUGCGGAAUGCGUGGUGUAGCGGUGAAAUGCAUAGAUAUCACGCAGAACUCCGAUUGCGAAGGCAGCGUACCGGCGCCCAACUGACGCUGAAGCACGAAGGCGUGGGUAUCGAACAGG